rnacentral:rRNA from 1 species
CGGGUGAGUAACACGUGAGUAACCUGCCCUUGACUCUGGGAUAAGCCUGGGAAACUGGGUCUAAUACCGGAUACGACCAUCUGACGCAUGUCAUGGUGGUGGAAAGCUUUUGUGGUUUUGGAUGGACUCGCGGCCUAUCAGCUUGUUGGUGGGGUAAUGGCCUACCAAGGCGACGACGGGUAGCCGGCCUGAGAGGGUGACCGGCCACACUGGGACUGAGACACGGCCCAGACUCCUACGGGAGGCAGCAGUGGGGAAUAUUGCACAAUGGGCGAAAGCCUGAUGCAGCGACGCCGCGUGAGGGAUGACGGCCUUCGGGUUGUAAACCUCUUUCAGUAGGGAAGAAGCGAAAGUGACGGUACCUGCAGAAGAAGCGCCGGCUAACUACGUGCCAGCAGCCGCGGUAAUACGUAGGGCGCAAGCGUUAUCCGGAAUUAUUGGGCGUAAAGAGCUCGUAGGCGGUUUGUCGCGUCUGCUGUGAAAGACCGGGGCUCAACUCCGGUUCUGCAGUGGGUACGGGCAGACUAGAGUGCAGUAGGGGAGACUGGAAUUCCUGGUGUAGCGGUGAAAUGCGCAGAUAUCAGGAGGAACACCGAUGGCGAAGGCAGGUCUCUGGGCUGUAACUGACGCUGAGGAGCGAAAGCAUGGGGAGCGAACAGGAUUAGAUACCCUGGUAGUCCAUGCCGUAAACG